AGAGUGAACGCUGGCGGUAGGCCUAACACAUGCAAGUCGAACGGCAGCACAGUAGGAGCUUGCUCUUACGGGUGGCGAGUGGCGGACGGGUGAGGAAUACAUCGGAAUCUACCUUUUGGUGGGGGAUAACGUAGGGAAACUUACGCUAAUACCGCAUACGCCCUUCGGGGGAAAGCCGGGGACCAGCAAUGGCCUGGUGCUGAUAGAUGAGCCGAUGUCGGAUUAGCUAGUUGGUGAGGUAAUGGCUCACCAAGGCGACGAUCCGUAGCUGGUCUGAGAGGAUGAUCAGCCACACUGGAACUGAGACACGGUCCAGACUCCUACGGGAGCAGCAGUGGGAAUAUGGACAAUGGGCGCAAGCCUGAUCCAGCCAUACCGCGUGGGUGAAGAAGGCCUUCGGGUUAGUAAAGCCCUUUUAGGUUAGGUAAAGAAAAGACAAUUACGGUUUAAAUACCCGGUUAGUUACGUGAACGGUACCGAAAAGAAUAAAGACCACCGGACUAACUUACGCG
rnacentral:rRNA from 1 species